UACGGAGGGUGCUAGCGUUAUUCGGAAUUACUGGGCGUAAAGCGCACGUAGGCGGUUACUCAAGUCAGAGGUGAAAGCCUGGAGCUCAACUCCAGAACUGCCUUUGAAACUAGGUGACUUGAAUCCAGGAGAGGUGAGUGGAAUUCCGAGUGUAGAGGUGAAAUUCGUAGAUAUUCGGAAGAACACCAGUGGCGAAGGCGGCUCACUGGACUGGUAUUGACGCUGAGGUGCGAAAGCGUGGGGAGCAAACAGG
rnacentral:rRNA from 1 species